rnacentral:rRNA from 1 species
UACGUAGGGUGCGAGCGUUAAUCGGAAUUACUGGGCGUAAAGCGUGCGCAGGCGGCUUUGCAAGACAGAUGUGAAAUCCCCGGGCUCAACCUGGGAACUGCAUUUGUGACUGCAAGGCUAGAGUACGGCAGAGGGGGAUGGAAUUCCGCGUGUAGCAGUGAAAUGCGUAGAUAUGCGGAGGAACACCAAUGGCGAAGGCAAUCCCCUGGGCCUGUACUGACGCGCAUGCACGAAAGCGUGGGGAGCAAACAGG